CAGCGAGGCUGUUCUAUCGCUCCACGCAAGUGGGGAGGAAAGUCCGGGCAACAUAGAGCGUUCCGCCUUGUGAUAAGCAAGGGAUCCUGAUUGAAACGUCAGGAGACAGAAAGUACCGCAGAGAAUAUACCGCCUUCGGGUAAGGGUGAAAACGUGAGGUAAGAGCUCACGGCUGCUUUGGUAACAAAGUUUGCAGGAAAACCUCGGAAGUUGAAAGACCAAAUAGGCUGUAUUAGUGGGGCUGCUCGCUCCCUUCGUUGCAAAACGAUGAUACAGUGGGUAGGUCGAUUGAUCCUGACUUUCAAAAUCAGGACAGAUAAAUGAUAGAAAUUCUUAUGCUUCGGUAUAAGAAAACAGAACCCGGCUUACAGGCCUCAUUUUUUU
rnacentral:RNase_P_RNA from 1 species